rnacentral:tRNA from 1 species
AAGAUUUGUAGUUUAUAGUAGAAUGUCUUAUUUACAUUAGGAUGGAAAAAAGUCUUA